AAUCGCAAUUGCAUGAAUACUUUACUAUUUAGUAUUUAUAUAAAAAUAAUUAUGUGGACCAUCUCCGGAUUUGUUUAUACCGAGGUUGUAACAAUAAUGAUUAAGGGGUUUGGGGAGAAUGGAGUAACUUCUUUAUUAAUGACGAACGGAAAGACAGUAAUUAACAGAACGGAAAACCGUAAGUACAGAACGGAAAACCGAAAGUACAGGUCGGAAAACCGAUAUUAAUGGUCGGAAAACCAGAAAAUACAGAAUGGAAAACCAGAAAGUAAGAGAUAAAGAGCUAGACAGCAAUUCUCUCUUAAAUUCUCUGAGUGGUGAUAGGUUCUGGAUCUCUCUUCUUAGUAGUGUCUCCUCUUAUUUAUAGGCAAGGAGCUGAUCUAGGGUUCUCUUAGUCUCUCUUGCGAUUUCUCUGUUUUGCCCUUCUGAAUUUAUCGGGUUGGACCAAGCCGUGAUGGGCCGAGCAGUCAUUCUGAUGGGCCGUUGUUCUGAUGGCCGUUCUUCCUUGUUAGGAGCUUUCUUGACUUGUUCUAUUUGUGUUUGGGCCGAAUUGGGCAUGGAGGGCAAAGCCCGUAUCCCACAAGAUUCAUGGCUCAAGUCAAGUUUAUGGAUUGUGUUAACAUAUUCGUGGUUCUUAAAAUUUUUCAUGAUUUAGGAUUUGGUAACUUUUUUUAU
rnacentral:sRNA from 1 species